CGGCAAUACAUGCAAGUCGAGCGCUCGUUGAGUUCCUUCAGGAUCCCCCGGGAGCGGCGAAUGGGUGAGUAGCACCUAGGCUGCCUGACUGUAAUACCGGGAUAACUACCGGAAUCGGACCCUAAAACUGGACAUGUGGUCUUCUAGGAUGAGAAGAUCAAGAGACACGGGGGAACCUGUGGCUUACCUAUGGGCCUGCGGCGCAUUAGCGGGUUGGUGGGGUAACGGCGCAACAAGGCGACGAUGCGUAGCCAACCUGAUAGGGUGAUCGGCCACACUGAGACUGACACAAGGCCCACACUCCGACGGGAGGCGGCAUUAGGGAAUCUUCCGCAAUGGACGCCGGUCUGACGGAGCAACGCCGCUGGAGUGAUGAAGGUUUUCGGAUCGUAAAGCUCUGUUGCAAGGGAACAAAGUCUCGGAGAGCAGCUGCUCUGCGAAUGAGGGAACCUGACAACAACGCCCCGGCUAACUACAUGCCCGCAGCCGCGGUAGUACCUAGGGUGCAAGGGUUGUCCGGAAUUAUUGGGCGUAAAGCGCGCGCAGGCGGCCGCUUAGUUCUGGUGUUGAAGCCCGGGGCUGAUCCCCGGGUCGCAUGGGAGACUGGGCGGCUUGAGUGCAAGACAGGAUUCCGGAUUUACCCGUGUAACGCUGAAAUGCGUAGAGGAGUGGAGGAACACCAGUGGCCAAUGCGGCUUGCUGGCCAGUCACAGACGCUGAAGCGCGAAAACGUGAGGAGCAUACAUGAUCAGAUACCCUGGGACUCCACCCCUUAGACCAUGAUUGCUAGGGGUUAGGGGUUUCUAUACCCUUGGUGCCCAAAUAAACCCCUCAACCACUCCACCAGGGUAGUACGCUUGCAACACUGAGGCUCUCACGAAUUGACGGGGACCCGCUCGAGCAUUUGAUUAUGUUCUUUAAUUCGCAGCAACGCUUAGCAACGUUUAUCACGUCCCUGCCGUCUAUCUGAAAAUUCUAGAGAUACGGUCAUGGACUUCGGGAACCGAGUAGUACCGGUGGUGUCUUCUUCUUCGUUCUCUUGUUAUCUUGGGAUGUUUGGUUAAUCCAUGCCAACCACUUCAACCCAUGUAGCUUCGUUU
rnacentral:rRNA from 1 species